GAGUUUGAUCCUGGCUCAGAACGAACGCUGGCGGCAGGCUUAACACAUGCAAGUCGAGCGCCCCGCAAGGGGAGCGGCAGACGGGUGAGUAACGCGUGGGAACGUACCCUUUACUACGGAAUAACGCAUGGAAACGUGUGCUAAUACCGUAUGUGCCCUUCGGGGGAAAGAUUUAUCGGUAAAGGAUCGGCCCGCGUUGGAUUAGCUAGUUGGUGGGGUAAAGGCCUACCAAGGCGACGAUCCAUAGCUGGUCUGAGAGGAUGAUCAGCCACAUUGGGACUGAGACACGGCCCAAACUCCUACGGGAGGCAGCAGUGGGGAAUAUUGGACAAUGGGCGCAAGCCUGAUCCAGCCAUGCCGCGUGAGUGAUGAAGGCCCUAGGGUUGUAAAGCUCUUUCACCGGUGAAGAUAAUGACGGUAACCGGAGAAGAAGCCCCCGGCU
rnacentral:rRNA from 1 species